GGUAGAGUUCCUCCCCCAUGCACUUGCGCACGUGCUCCGCCACCAAGGGGAACAUCUGCACGAAGCACUGCGCCGCGCGGGCGAGGCGGCGUGACUGCGGGGGCGACGGGGCUGCGGGUGCCGCCGCCCUUCCCGCCCCCUAACCAGCCGCCGCGCGCACCUCCAGCGUGAGGCUGGCCAGCCGCUGGCUGUUGCUGUGGUCCGUGUUGCCCAUGGCGGCCAUUAGGCCACGCACCACGCGCAGGUACAGCAGCUCCUCGGCGAUGCUCAUGUCGUUGCGCGCCAGGACCCUGGGCCGGGGGUUCGGGCUGGGGCGACGCCCUGGGGCUCACCCGGCGCACACCCCCGCCCACCCGGCGCACGGAGCGCUCCCGGGGCCCGCCGGCAGCGCCAAGCCAGGCUUGCUGCAGCUACCCACUAACCCCUGCCCGCUUACCCGAUGGCCUUGGCGGCCGCGGCCUGCUGCAAAAACAUCGGCAGGCUGGGGGUGAGCUGGAGAACCGAGGGGUCUGAGGAGGGGGCAGCCGUGAGGCAAGAGACCGCCCUCCCGUGGCCCAGGCAGCCCCAUUUGAGCAGGUCCUUACCACUGAGGAUCUUGGCCUGCAGUUUGGAGAUCUCCUUGACCGACGGUAUCAGCAGCGCCACGAGGCCCUUGAGCAGCGCCUGGCGCACAUCGUAACCGACCAGGUCUUUGAUCAACUCGAUGGCUGCGGAAGGGCAGAGGUGCUGGAGAGAGGCCCCAGGCCCCUCCGCCACCGAGGAAGCAAAGAACCCCGUGAACCAAGUCGCCACUCGAGAUUUUACCCAGUGAGAACAUGUUUAGGACACUUUUCUACAGUGGAAGAAAAGCUUCUGUCUGCAGGUCCAAAGGCACCGUCCUGAGUUGGAAAAAGAUGAAUCAGACCCAGUCCCUCCCUGGAGUUGCUCAGAGGUCUGGAGGAGAAAGGCAUAGAGGUACGAUGUCUUCGUAUGCUCACCGUGCCCCAAAUUCGGUUUUCACUUGCAUCCGAGGGUACUGUCUGAGAGAAGGGCAAAAGCCAACAAGAAAAAAAAAAAAGCCUUCCCCAGCACUGGAGAUCUGGCCUCUUCACUUACAUGCUGUCUACAAAUGCACCAUUAUUCUUUCCCUAUCAAAUCGACUCCUUUAAUCUUUUCUACAGCCCUUUCAUCAUCCUUGUUGCUUGUCUCAACCACUUUUAAGUCUGCCAACAUCUUUCUGAUCCUUAAGUAAACAGGACAAAUCACUCUGCUGGGAGGCAUGAACUCUCUGCCCUACCUUGGCCUUCUGGAAGUAACGCUGAUUGAACAACAGACAUGCAGUGGGAGGCUGAGCUCCGUUUCUCAUGCCUGUGUGGAGAGCAACUGCGGAAGGUAAUUGUAAGAUUAUUGCAUCUGAAUCAGAACCACAGGAGCAUGCAGCCUUGGCUCACCUGGGCAGUCCUGAGAGUCUGCAGGGACAGCUGCUGGGCUUUUGGGGACUCGCAGGGCAGCAAAGCUAUUAGACCUUUAUACACUUGAUUUUGGUACUUGGGAUUGCCGUGGACCAAAGAAUCCAACAGAACCUGCACUUCCUCCUGGGUCUCUUCUGACUUAGACUUUGCCAAAAAUUCUGCUAUGGAUCGUACACCUGAGCAAAGAAGAGAGGAAAUGCUAAAUUGGAAGGGAUUUAUGAAAAAAUCCCCACUCAAGAUUAUAUAAUAUGAAUAGGAUUAAAAGCUCUUCAACCAAGCCUGUUCAACCAAAGCAAAAUUGAGGCCUGGUUCUCAUGUUGCAUCACUGUCUUGUUUACCUUAGAGUUAUGUGGCUGGAGGAUUUUAUUUCAGCAUAGGCAUGUCAAAAUCUGUUUUAAAGUUUAAAAUGGCUCUGCACAAUUUACAAAUAAAACAUGCAUUUUUUUAUUGCUA